rnacentral:rRNA from 1 species
GACGAACGCUGGCGGCGUGCUUAACACAUGCAAGUCGAACGGAAAGGCCUCUUUCGGGGGGUACUCGAGUGGCGAACGGGUGAGUAACACGUGAGUAACCUGCCCUUGACUUUGGGAUAACUUCAGGAAACUGGGGCUAAUACCGGAUAGGAGCUCCUGCUGCAUGGUGGGGGUUGGAAAGUUUCGGCGGUUGGGGAUGGACUCGCGGCUUAUCAGCUUGUUGGUGGGGUAGUGGCUUACCAAGGCUUUGACGGGUAGCCGGCCUGAGAGGGUGACCGGCCACAUUGGGACUGAGAGACGGCCCAGACUCCUACGGGAGGCAGCAGGGGGGAAUAUUGCACAAGGGGUGGAAGCCUGAUGCAGCAACGCCGUGUGCGGGAUGACGGCCUUCGGGUUGUAAACCGCUUUCGCUCAUGACGAAGCUUUGUGUGACGGUAGUGGGUAAAGAAGCACCGGCUAACUACGUG